rnacentral:rRNA from 1 species
GACGAACGCUGGCGGCGUGCCUAAUACAUGCAAGUUGAGCGAUGAAGAUUGGUGCUUGCACCAAUUUGAAGAGCAGCGAACGGGUGAGUAACGCGUGGGGAAUCUGCCUUUGAGCGGGGGACAACAUUUGGAAACGAAUGCUAAUACCGCAUAACAACUUUAAACAUAAGUUUUAAGUUUGAAAGAUGCAAUUGCAUCACUCAAAGAUGAUCCCGCGUUGUAUUAGCUAGGUGGUGAGGUAAAGGCUCACCAAGGCGAUGAUACAUAGCCGACCUGAGAGGGUGAUCGGCCACAUUGGGACUGAGACACGGCCCAAACUCCUACGGGAGGCAGCAGUAGGGAAUCUUCGGCAAUGGACGAAAGUCUGACCGAGCAACGCCGCGUGAGUGAAGAAGGUUUUCGGAUCGUAAAACUCUGUUGGUAGAGAAGAACGUUGGUGAGAGUGGAAAGCUCAUCAAGUGACGGUAACUACCCAGAAAGGGACGGCUAACUACGUG